UUCCCCCUCCUUAUUGUCUGUCUGUCGCGGUGACAACAACAGUAACUUCCACAUUGCUUUUCUGGAUUUUCCUGGUGCAGUCUGAAGACACAUAACACACACCAUUCCCUGCCAUGACCUACUGUCAGCAGCCCGCUCAGAAGGAAAGAUGGCUGACCCACACUUUAGAAUGCAGCUCCGAGUGGCUCCUACCAAAGCUGAGAAUCCAGCUCUCGAAGAAGCUGUCGCCCUGGGGCUUUCCUCUGUUCCCAACUGAUCCAAGCUGACUUCAAGUGGACUGGAAGGCACUUUGAAGACCAUCCCAGGACCCACAGGGGAUGGAAUUACUGGGUGCGAAGUCAAUGCUUUGGUCCUGAUCCCAGAUAGCCAGAGUGCCAAGGACGGACGGGCGCAGUGAAGACUGUCCACAGGUCAUGUCCAUCUCUGCAGAGAGCAGGUAUAUUCUUAUGGGAAGAAGAGGAAGGGACCCCAAACUCGCCCCUAAAAUAACAUCCUUGGACUAUUACUUACAAGUAAGAUAGAAGCGCCCCGAAAU